AUGCUUGUCAUCCGGACUACUAUUUUCAGCCCGUUCCCUACGUACUCGAUCAUUGCAAUGGUCUCCUCUUGCUCCAUCACUGCGUGGUCAACCCUACGACGCAGCAGUGGUCGCCUCUGCCCCCGGCCCCGGACCUGCCCAAACCCGCACCUCCAAUCACAUUUUUGGAAAUCCUGGUACCUCAUGUUUGACCCCAUGCUGUCACCCAACCAUUUCGAUGUGUUCAUAAUGCCCGAAAUUGCUUUCAAGGUCGAAUGUGAGCAAUUUGAAUGGCCACCGUCCACGUUGAUCCUUCCUGUGUUUUCAUCAAAGAUUGGUUCAUGGGAGAAGAGGACAUUUUGUCGGUAAGGGGAAGCUGCAGGGACGAUACCUGGCUUGGUUGGGGUCAGACUGGAUUGCAAUGAACGUCAGUCUGUCUACUGGAGAGGAUCACUCUAUAUUUGUUGCGACAACUGUUUUAUUUUGAGAAUAUCACUGUCAGACAACAGUUAUCGAGUAAUAAGACUGCCAACAAGAUUGUCCCUAGACGAUUCACAAGGUGAUCAACAGUUUUACCUAGGAAAAUCAACCAAGGGGAUAUAUUGUGCAUCAAGAAUCACGUCACAUAGGUCCCACCUUCAGGUUUGGUUCCUUAACCACCUGAACGGGUGGGUUUUGAAGCAUGACAAAGAUAUUUUCCCCGUCCUGCCAAAUAUCGACUAUGGCAACCCAUGUGAUGGACCUUGGAUCCUACAACAAUUUGACUAUGAUGAACAUUCUGAUGAAGAUGAUUCUGUUGUGGAGGACAACAGGGAAGCAGUGGAAAAGGAAAUUUUUGAAGCAAUAGUGGAACAAGGGAAAUUUGAGUGGGACUCAGACAAUGAUAAUGUACUUGAACCUGGAAGUAGCUGCAGGGGAACUGAUACAUGUUUCCUUGGAUUCCAUCCUUUCAAAGAGGUUGUGUUCGUGACUCUGUGGGACAGAGUGCUAGCCUAUCAUUUGUCGAGCUCAAAGCUUCAAGAUUUAGGCAAGCUUUUUCCAGAAUUCUAUGUGGAUGGGCACACUUACUGGCAUAUACAGGUGGAAGAGUCUUUCCUGUACACUCCCUGCUGGUUAGGGGAGCUUCCUGAAAAACUAAACUAG
rnacentral:rRNA from 1 species